rnacentral:rRNA from 1 species
AACGAACGCUGGCGGCAUGCCUAACACAUGCAAGUCGAACGAGACCUUCGGGUCUAGUGGCGCACGGGUGCGUAACGCGUGGGAAUCUGCCCUUGGGUUCGGAAUAACAGUUAGAAAUGACUGCUAAUACCGGAUGAUGACUUCGGUCCAAAGAUUUAUCGCCCAAGGAUGAGCCCGCGUAGGAUUAGCUAGUUGGUGGGGUAAUGGCCCACCAAGGCUCCGAUCCUUAGCUGGUCUGAGAGGAUGAUCAGCCACACUGGGACUGAGACACGGCCCAGACUCCUACGGGAGGCAGCAGUGGGGAAUCUUGCGCAAUGGGCGAAAGCCUGACGCAGCCAUGCCGCGUGAAUGAUGAAGGUCUUAGGAUUGUAAAAUUCUUUCACCGGGGACGAUAAUGACGGUACCCGGAGAAGAAGCCCCGGCUAACUUCGUGCCAGCAGCCGCAGUAACAC